rnacentral:rRNA from 2 species
UUGACUCACGCGGGAAUCUUACCGGGUCCGGACACACUGAGGAUUGACAGAUAUACGCUCAUUGCGUGUGCUUCGGCGCUGCUUUGAGCUGAAAGAUGCUAGUUCUUUCAUGAUUAUGUGAUAGGUGGUGCAUGGCCGUUCUUAGUUCGUGGAGUGAUCUGUCUGCUUAAUUGCGUAUCAAUAAUAGAGACCUAGUAUACGCGUGGAUUUCGCGUGGUAGUGACCCCCUGUUCGCAGGCGUGUGUCGCACACGCGUGCCGCGCACUGGUCUCAGAUAGCAACGAACGUGACCGUAUUCUAUUGUUGCAGUGAAUAUGUGUGCCUUCGGGCAUACGACCCACUGCUUAGUAUAUGCACGUGCUUCGGUGCGAGCAAUAUACAUUAAACUAUAGAGACCGCUGUUUCUUCUUUAAACCAGAGGAAGGAUACGGCAAUAACAGGUCUGUGAUGCCCUCAGAUGUUCCGGGCUGCACACGUGCUACAAUGAUCAUUGCACUGUGCAUCUAACCCAAUGUGCGUGGACGCCGCAUGCAUGUACUCCUUGUGGGUACACGCAUUGCUGAGCGACCACGCCGAACCUACUUCGAAAGUAAAAUUUCUCUGUGGGUAAUCCAUUAGAAGUAAUGACUCGCAUAGACCAUGGCACACCAAAUGUACGCGCAGGUCUACCCGGCUCGCCUUUGUGUGAGUGCAGUGCGUAGCUUGUUGUUUCGUACGUGCCACUCCGUAUUAAUUCGUACGUGGGGAUAGAUCAUUGUUUAAUUGUUGGUCUCGGUCUU